AUGCAUCUGAGCUGGCAGUUCUUCCCAGGUGCCUGUAGGAAUUGUGGAUACGCCAAGCCCACAGGAAUACCCUUCAUGUUUUGCAAGAGGGAACAAAGGAGGUUCACCACAGCAGGAGGACUCUGCAGCUCAGAAUUACUGAUGGCCCAAAAUGCUGGUGACUCACCAGAUUUCCACUGCAGGAGGUUGGCAACUGCACGAGUCCAGUUCAAAGAGGGAAACGACAAAUCAGUCCUGACUCCACAUGGAGAGAAGAUGGCAAAAUACAGCUCUGCACAAUGUCUGGACCUGGAUAAACAGGGAUGUUCUGUUUCAUGGCAAGAAAACUUCUUCCAGCAUGGGCAUUAUUUAUCUGAAGCAGCAGAGGGAUUUCUCCUGUCUCUUUGUGGAACAAUGAAGACAAACAGCACUGUAAAGCCCAGGAUGAAGUGCUCAGGAGUUCAGAACAAACCUGCCAAGAUCUGAAAGGCAGCAUCCAGAGGGCACGAAAGCAUCAGUUCAAUAAAACCAUUUAAUUCUCCA
rnacentral:lncRNA from 1 species